GGCGUUCGGCGUGGGCUUCAAAUCCGUCGAUGUGCACCGCCGUG
rnacentral:tRNA from 10 species